rnacentral:rRNA from 1 species
CCUACGGGCGACAGCAGUGGGGGAUAUUGCACAAUGGGCGCAAGCCUGAUGCAGCGACACCGCGUGAGCGAAGAAGGAUUUCGGGAUGUAAAGCUCUUUCAGCAGGGAAGAAAAUGACGGUACCUGACUAAGAAGCUACGGCUAAAUACGUGCCAGCAGCCGCGGUAAUACGUAGGGAGCAAGCGUUAUCCGGAGUUACUGGGUGUAAAGGGAGCGUAGGCGGCCCUGUAAGUCUGAUGUGAAAAUUUGGGGCUCAACCCCAAAAGUGCAUUGGAAACUGCAGGGCUUGAGUGCAGGAGAGGUAGGCGGAAUUCCUAGUGUAGCGGUGAAAUGCGUAGAUAUUAGGAGGAACACCAGUGGCGAAGGCGGCCUGCUGGAAGGUAACUGACGCUGAGGCUCGAAAGCGUGGGGAGCAAACAGGAUUAGAUACCCUAGUAGUC